CCAUCACUAGCAGUCUAUGAAGAGUUGAAAGAGACUCUCCCGGAAUAACCUUGCAGUCCUUGCACAAGCCCCUAUCGCUCCUUCGGAUGAGGAUCUAGUCAAUCUGAGUCCUCGCCGCCGAACUCUUGAAGGUGACAAAAUGCUCCUCCCUCUUCCGGAAUGUCGAGUUCGCAAUCAAGAGCUCGGAAGCCCUGGCGAAAUCAAGCAGCGAAGUGCCUCCUCCGUUCCUGGCCCCAAAGCCAAAUCCACCGUGCACCUCAUCAUCGGACUCCCUUAGGUCCCUAUCAACCAAGAUGCCCACCCCAUUCUUACCCCUCUCGAGCCCAGAGUACCACAGCUUAAACCCAUCAGCGUCCCGCGCCUUUGACCCUUUCCACCUAGUCUCCCGGACGCACGCUAUGUUAACCCU
rnacentral:lncRNA from 1 species